UGCCUUUUAAUUGGAGGCUGGUAUGAAUGGUUUGACGAGGGCUGAGCUGUCUCUUCUGGAAUAUUUAAAAAUUAACUUCUAGGUGAAAAGGCUUAGAUUUAGCUGAGGGACGAGAAGACCCUGUUGAGCUUUAGUGUGGGGUAAAGGUCUGUGUUUCUGCUGUAGUAGAGGAUCAAGAUUUAUCUUUACAUCUUUAGUUGGGGUGACUGGGGAACAUAAGUAGCUUCUCUGUUUUUGUUGAAUUAGAUUUGGUUUGCUGACUGAUGAUCCAGCAUUGGCUGAUUAUCGGAAAAAGUUACCACAGGGAUAACAGCGUAAUCUUUCUGGAGAGUUCACAUUGAAAGAAGGGUUUGCGACCUCGAUGUUGGAUUAAGGUGUCCUGAGGGUGUAGCAGCUUUCGUUGGUUGGUCUGUUCGACCAUUAA
rnacentral:rRNA from 1 species